GCGCUGCUGAAGAGUCUCAAACUAGGACGAAACAGCUGUCCAGUAC
rnacentral:hammerhead_ribozyme from 1 species